rnacentral:misc_RNA from 1 species
UAUUUGCAAAUAUUCGUAAAAUAUUAUUUCUUUUUUAUCACAAAAUAAUUAUUGUAAAAUUAAAACUAGAAAUGUUGGUAUAACUACAGAAUGUAUUUCUGUAUUAUAAAUGUCCACAAAAUCAUUUUGAUUUGACAAAUGUGUAUGUGAGAUAUCAAAGUAAUUCAUGAAACUGGGUAUGAUACAAAAUAAGCAAUUGCAUCUUUUUAUAACACAUUUUUCAUUAUCUUUUAAGUUUAUGGUAAUAAUUAAUAACAAGAAAAAAACCUUCAUCAAUGUGUCUACAGUAAUUAUUAAAAGGAGUAAAGUGUAAUUGAGAACGCUUAGACGGCAACAAAAAAUAAUGAAGUGGGGUCCAGCCACACGGCGAUCACAUAACCACUUAUAACAGAUACACAAUCAGUCGGAUAGGCCUUGACGAGCGACGGUAGCUAAUCACUGUCAAGGUCACUUCCCGAAGGUCAUUUGUUUUCUCGGGAUAUUCGCCUCCGUUUUGCCUGCUCUGUUGCUUCAGCUGUUACUAAAACAAUGUUCCCGCUGUACGAGGUGUCUUCAAUUAAAAUG